AUUGAACGCUGGCGGCAGGCCUAACACAUGCAAGUCGAGCGGUAACAGAGAGAAGCUUGCUUUUCUGCUGACGAGCGGCGGACGGGUGAGUAAUGCGUAGGAAUCUGCCUAGUAGUGGGGGAUAACUUGCCGAAAGGUAAGCUAAUACCGCAUACGUCCUACGGGAGAAAGGAGGGGACCUUCGGGCCUUUCGCUAUUAGAUGAGCCUAGGUCGGAUUAGUUAGGUGGUGAGGUAAUGGCUCACCAAGACCGCGAUCCGUAACUGGUCUGAGAGGAUGAUCAGUCACACUGGGACUGAGACACGGUCCAGACUCCUACGGGAGGCAGCAGUGGGGAAUAUUGGACAAUGGGGGGAACCCUGAUCCAGCCAUGCCGCGUGUGUGAAGAAGGUCUUAGGAUUGUAAAGCACUUUAAGUUGGGAGGAAGAGCAGUUAACUAAUAUUUGACUGUUUUGACGUUACCGACAGAAUAAGCACCGGCUAACUUCGUGCCAGCCGCCGCGGUAAAAC
rnacentral:rRNA from 1 species